rnacentral:rRNA from 1 species
GCAAGUCGAACGAACCCUUCGGGGUGAGUGGCGCACGGGUGCGUAACACGUGGGAAUAUACAUUUCGGUAAGGAACAACACAGAGAAAUUUGUGCUAAUACCUUAUAAUGACUCCGGUCCAAAGAUUUAUCGCCGAAGGAUUAGCCCGCGCUAGAUUAGUUUGUUGGUGAGGUAAGAGCUCACCAAGACUACGAUCUAUAGCUGGUCUUAGAGGAUGAUC